rnacentral:rRNA from 1 species
UGGCGGACGGGUGAGUAAUGCCUAGGAAUCUGCCUGGUAGUGGGGGACAACGUUCCGAAAGGGACGCUAAUACCGCAUACGUCCUACGGGAGAAAGUGGGGGAUCUUCGGACCUCACGCUAUCAGAUGAGCCUAGGUCGGAUUAGCUAGUAGGUGGGGUAAUGGCUCACCUAGGCGACGAUCCGUAACUGGUCUGAGAGGAUGAUCAGUCACACUGGAACUGAGACACGGUCCAGACUCCUACGGGAGGCAGCAGUGGGGAAUAUUGGACAAUGGGCGAAAGCCUGAUCCAGCCAUGCCGCGUGUGUGAAGAAGGUCUUCGGAUUGUAAAGCACUUUAAGUUGGGAGGAAGGGCUGCAAGUUAAUACCUUGUAGUUUUGACGUUACCAACAGAAUAAGCACCGGCUAACUUCGUGCCAGCAGCCGCGGUAAU